rnacentral:rRNA from 1 species
AACGAACGCUGGCGGCAGGCCCAACACAUGCAAGUCGAACGCCGUAGCAAUACGGAGUGGCAGACGGGUGAGUAACACGUGGGAACGUACCCUUCGGUUCGGAAUAACUCAGGGAAACUUGAGCUAAUACCGGAUACGUCCGAGAGGAGAAAGAUUUAUCGCCGAGGGAUCGGCCCGCGUCUGAUUAGCUUGUUGGUGAGGUAACGCUCACCAAGGCGACGAUCAGUUAGCUGGUCNGAGAGGAUGAUCA